CUUAAUAGUACCAUGGCCAUCAUCAUCCAUUACAUAUAGCCUUUCUUUUUCUUACAGCUUCAAACUCAAGAAAGGAAGAACCCCACUUUUACUCAUUACUCUCUCAUCAAAUUGUCACCACCCCACCCAAAUAACCAUAAUUAUUUACUUUAUUUCUUGUUACUCUUCUGAACACACGUCCUUUUCUCUUAUUCUUUUGCUGCUGCCUGGUGAUGGUGUUAAACCAUAAACUUUCACUCUAGCCUUUGUGAGAUCAGUCUCUUGAGUUUCUCAGGGACAAGAAAAAUACUUGAAAUUGGUUACGGGGUUCUGAGUUCAUGAACAUGCAGUGUUUCUGGGUUGGCUUCCUUCUUUUCUGUGGCUUUUUCGUUGUUGGUUUUUGUGACCAAGAUGGUUUUUUGAGCAUAUCUUGUGGUGGAAAUACUAGUUAUAUUGAUUCAU